UGGGGAAUUUUGGACAAUGGGCGCAAGCCUGAUCCAGCCAUGCCGCGUGCAGGAUGAAGGCCUUCGGGUUGUAAACUGCUUUUGUACGGAGCGAAAAGGUCUGCCCUAAUACGGUGGGCUCAUGACGGUACCGUAAGAAUAAGCACCGGCUAACUACGUGCCAGCAGCCGCGGUAAUACGUAGGGUGCGAGCGUUAAUCGGAAUUACUGGGCGUAAAGCGCGCGUAGGUGGUUUGUUAAGUUGGAUGUGAAAGCCCCGGGCUCAACCUGGGAACUGCAUCCAAAACUGGCAAGCUAGAGUAUGGUAGAGGGGGAUGGAACUCCGCGUGUAGCAGUGAAAUGCGUAGAUAUGCGGAGGAACACCGAUGGCGAAGGCAAUCCCCUGGACCUGUACUGACGCUCAUGCACGAAAGCGUGGGGAGCAAACA
rnacentral:rRNA from 1 species